rnacentral:misc_RNA from 1 species
CAAAGUGGGAGGCGAUCGAGGACAAGCCGACGUUCCUCCUCUACAGCGGCGGCGCCGUCGUCGCCCUCUGGCUCACCACCGUCGUCGUCGGCGCCAUCAACUCCGUGCCGCUGCUCCCCAAGAUCCUGGAGCUCGUCGGCCUCGGCUACACCGGCUGGUUCGUCUACCGCUACCUCCUCUUCAAGGAGAGCAGGAAAGAGUUGGCGACCGACAUCGAGACCUUGAAGAAGAAGAUCGCUGGAACGGAG